rnacentral:rRNA from 1 species
AACGAACGCUGGCGGCAGGCCUAACACAUGCAAGUCGAACGCUCGUAGCAAUACGAGAGUGGCAGACGGGUGAGUAACACGUGGGAACCUACCUUCUGGUACGGAACAACCAAGGGAAACUCUGGCUGAUACCGUAUACGACCUCCGGGUGAAAGAUUGAUCGCCGGAAGAGGGGCCCGCGUCCGAUUAGGUAGUUGGUGAGGUAACGGCUCACCAAGCCUGCGAUCGGUAGCUGGUCUGAGAGGAUGACCAGCCACACUGGGACUGAGACACGGCCCAGACUCCUACGGGAGGCAGCAGUGGGGAAUAUUGGACAAUGGGCGCAAGCCUGAUCCAGCCAUGCCGCGUGAGUGAUGAAGG